GGUAGUUUGUAUGUAGUUAUUUUAUAUUUGUAAAUAUUUACUUAUGUUAUCAUUGUAAACUUUGUUUGUUCUGAAUUUAUCUUUGUAUGAAACAAAUGAAUUACUCAUCUAGAUGUAUUUUUUCUGGUAAUGGGGAACAUUCCUCAGUUAUCCCCCUUUACGACUUCGCCAAGAGGUGGGGCCAAGCACUACGAUCCUACGCGUACUUCCGGUAUUUCGAAACUGUUCAGAGAAGUGUUUACACUGCUAAGUAAAAUGUUUUACUGAAGUUCGAGCGAGUCCGAUAUACUCCCUUGAGUGUUCAAACCCGCUAUUGUUGGACCGUAACUACCGCAGUGCCCCAAGCGGGCAAGGGGGUGCAACUCCAGGAAUGUUCCCCAUUGGAUAGAUUUAGUUUCUGAUGUUGGAUGUAGUUGCUAAUGCCAUAAUUACGAGUAUUAUGAGUGGAUAUGGGUUCUUAAAUUGAUAAACCUAUGAGCAACGAUCUGCGCAAUUGGGAACCGAUGACAUGUGUCAAACAAGUCAGCGAGCCUGACACCCGAUCCCGUUAGUCGCCUCUUACGACACGCAUGGGUUACUGAAGAUCCAUUCUAACACUCACCAACACGGGUGAAGUAUCAUCGUUGUUGAUAAUAUGUUACUAAAGCUUAUAGUACUUCGUUUAUAUCAAAUUUGGAAAGAUAGAAUAAUGUUUCCUUUGUGUAUGCAUUGAAUGUUAUAAUCACGUGAUCUUUGAACCAUGAUAAUAUCUCUCUUGUUUAGCAAAUGCAUAUAUUUGUUGUUUUUUCCAAAUCCAAACAUAUCAAUGGUAGACUCCUGGUUUCGAAUAUCGUAUAUUCAAGAAAUAUUAAUGUUAAGGUUAACUUAUUAUUUUAGCUUGGGAUUCAACAAGUAAAUAAGGGUUAACUUAUUGUUUUAGCUUGGGAAUCAACAAGUAAAUAAUGGCUAACUUAUUUUUUCGCUUGAGAAUCCACAAGUAAAUAAUGGUUAACUUAUUGUUUUAGCUUGGGAAUCAACAAGUAAAUAAUGGUUAACUUAUUGUUUUAGCUUGGGAAUCCACAAGUAAAUAAUGGUUAACUUAUUAUUUUUCGCUUGAGAAUCCACAAGUAAAUAAGGGUUAACCUAUUGUUUUCGCUUGGGAAUCAACAAGUAAAUAAUGGUUAACUUAUUGUUUUCGCUUUGGAAUCAACAAGUAAAUAAUGGUUAACUUAUUGUUUUCAGCUUUGGGAAUCAACAAGUAAAUAAUGGUUAACUUAUUGUUUUAGCUUGGGAAUCAACAAGUAAAUAAUGGUUAACUUAUUGUUUUAGCUUGGGAAUCAACAAGUAAAUAAUGGUUAACUUAUUGUUUUAGCUUGGGAAUCAACAAGUAAAUUAAGGUUGACUUAUUAUUUUCGCUUUGGAAUCGACAAGUAAAUAAUGGUUUACUUAUUGUUUUCGCUUUGGAAUCAACAAGUAAAUAAUGGUUAAAAUUAUUGAUUCCGCUUGGGAAUCAACAAGCGAAUAAUGGUCAAGUUAAUAUUUUAGGAUUGGAAUCAACAAUUGAAUAAUGGUUAACUUAGAGUUUUCGCUUGGGAAUCAACAAGUAAAUAAUGGUCAAGUUAUUAUUUUCUAGCUUGGGAAUCGACAAGUAGCUUAAGGAUUAACCUAUUGUAAUAAUAAUAAGUUAACCCGAAAGUUACUUGGUGAUUCCCAAUCUAAAUCAUGUCAAAACAUGAAACAACAAAGAAAUGUGAUACACUUAACUAUGGUAUUUUAAAGUUAACCAAAGUUAACAAAUCUAUACAACUCACUGUGUGGAUGUUGGGUAUAGAAUGUUAAAUCUUUAGUAUUAGCUAUGACGUUUUACAUUAUCUUCAUGUUUCUGCGGUUGUUUGACCGCAUCGUGCCUUUGCUGAUAUUCCAGGUUUGUAAUAAGAUCGCGCCAUUUCUGUUUCAAUUUAUUGUACUGUCUAACGCUGGAAUAUGUAUUGUGAUAUGCCUUUUAUAGUAUAGGAAUACCUACACUGAAAACAUAUACUGAUAACAAAUGCUGAUGUAUGAUAUUCAGUCAUAUUCAAUUUGCCGUUUGCUAAUUAUGAUUGUAUAAAAUACUUAUCCUUAUAAAGAUUAUACAGGUAGGGUGACAUUUAUACCUACUAUGACAGAAUGAUCCAUGUAAUUAUCCAAGAACGUUAUCCAUUAUCCAAGAAAGUUAUCCAUUAUCCAAGAAAGUUAUCCAUUAUCCAAGAAAGUUAUCCAUUAUCCAAGAAAGUUAAAAAGAAAGUUCUGGCCAUUCAAUCGGAUCCAUCACACCUUUUAAAUGAAUGUUAUGAAUUUCUGCUUUCUGGCCGCCGUUUCAAAAUCAUGUAUUACAAAACUAAUAGAACUUCAAAAUCAUUUGUCCCAUACAGCAUAAAACUUCUAAAUUUUCCUCCAAAAUUGUAAUAGUGAAAUCAAUGAUGUGGCACGAGUGAUUAUUAUAUUAUGUACUUUGAUUAUGAUUCAUCAUUAUAUUGUGAUUAGCUUGACAUUGUAUAUACAGUCGAGCACCGUUGUCUCGAUAUUCAUUGAACCAAGAAAAAAAUAUCGAACUUCGAGAUAUCAGACCAUGGCAUAUCAUAACACAUAACUAUGUAUGUUUUGAUACGAAUCUAUAAUCCAUUAUCGGUAGUAUUUAGUCGUAACAUGAGUACUUCGUAAUUAAAUCCUUCUUAAUUA